rnacentral:rRNA from 1 species
GACGAACGCUGGCGGCGUGCUUAACACAUGCAAGUCGAACGGAAAGGCCCUGCUUUUGUGGGGUGCUCGAGUGGCGAACGGGUGAGUAACACGUGAGUAACCUGCCCCUGACUUUGGGAUAACUUUAGGAAACUGGGGCUAAUACCGGAUAGGAGCUCCUGCUGCACGGUGGGGGUUGGAAAGUUUCGGCGGUUGGGGAUGGUCUCGCGGCUUAUCAGCUUCUUGGUGGGGUAGUGGCUUACCAAGGCUUUGACGGGUAGCCGGCCUGAGAGGGUGAACGGCCUCAUGGGGACUGAGAUACGGCCCAGUCGGCUACGGUAGGCAGCGGUGGGGAAUAUUGCGCAGUAGGCGGAAGCCUGAUGCGGCGGCCCCGCGUGCGGGAUAACGGCCUUCGAGUUAUAAACCGCUUUCGCCUGUGACGAAGCGUGAGUGACGGUAAUGGGUAAGAAAGCACCGGCUAACUACGUG